UACGGAGGGGGCGAGCGUUAUUCGGAAUUAUUGGGCGUAAAGGGCUUGGCAAGUCAAAGGUGAAAUCCCUCGGCUCAACUGAGGAACUGCCUUUGAAACUGCCUGGCUUGAGGCCGGGAGGGGGUAGCGGAAUUCCCAGUGUAGCGGUGAAAUGCGUAGAUAUUGGGAGGAACACCAGUGGCGAAGGCGGCUACCUGGACCGGUUCUGACGCUGAUGCGCGAAAGCGUGGGUAGCAAACAGG
rnacentral:rRNA from 1 species